CCCACCGCCUCUCGCUGACCCCAGCGCACGUUCGCGCUCACGGAAGGAGAAAGGCGGACCGCGACGCGAGGAGCUGCGAGCGGCAGUUAGAGCGCUGAGGUGCGCACACACGUGAGCCGCUCCAACUCCCGCCUGCAUUGAAAUGAUCGCCCCGCUAUCCGCACCAGCGCUCUCCUAAGCGGGAUGGGACGUGCCGAGCCUGCCUUCCCUCAGUGACAUCUCCCGGGGCUGCCCCAGGCGGCCUUAUACGGGUCACAACACGCUUCUCCCUGCCCGGUGCUGCCGAUUCGAGGAACGCUACAAUCCACGUUAUGGUUUUGCGUCGUACGGCACCGUAACUGCAGUCCCGCAGUUAAAUCACAGCACGCUUUAAGUUAGUUUUAAAAGAACCAGAACGCUGUUUUACAUAUUUACAUAUUCUCCUGAAGCAAAAUAUCAGUUCGCUUCUGUUUAUGAGAUGCGGUAGCCAAAACCUGUUCUUUCUCUACCACAUAUUACUCCUAGGAAAUGGAACUUUAGGAAAAAAAAGGAUAUACAAUCAAAAAAGGAACUUGAUUCAUUUGCUAAUUUUUUAAGCCUGCACGUCUGACUUCCCAGCAGGAGCAUGGAACUGCUUCACCUGCAGUCACUGGCCCCUGGGACUGGGAGCUCUGUCUGCCUGGCGAAUGGCUCGUGGUGGGAGACAGCUGCUGGGAAGAAUGUCACUUGAUUUGAAAUAUUUUGUUUGCUUGUUUUUGAAAGAAUGCUGAUUAAAAUUUCUUGGAAUCAAAACCAGAAGGCUUUCAGUAGUUUCAUUAAACAUGGAUUGUCUCCUGAGCAGCCUCAUUGGAAGAGUACUCUGUGCCCCCCAACGAGGAGUCAAGCUGAUAUCAGAAAUCCCACACAUACUCUGAUAUCUCCAGCCACACUUUUCCUGCACUUGCUUAAAACCAUAGCAGAAGUUUAAAAGUAGAACAUAUUAAAGGAUAGAAGACUCCUUGAACCAAUUCAUCAGGGUAAGAUGCAUAUCUAUGCCUGGCACUACAGAUGACAAAAAGCUGCCAGGAAUUUAGUGAUGCGCUUAAAAUUCCAGAUUGUUUCAAGGACUCAGACCUCUUCAUUACAACAUGAAUUAUGUUCCUC